rnacentral:tRNA from 1 species
UCCCUGGUGGCUCAGACGGUAAAGCAUCUACCUGCAAUGCAGGAGACCUGGGUUUGAUUCCUGGGUCGGGAA